AAUAAAGUCAAUUGCCAAGAUAUUCUCUUCUUUAGUUUCGUAGCGUCUUGCGUUCGUAACUUCUUUUCGCGACCUAUACACGCAUUUCGGGACUCACUCAAUUUUAUUUGCUAAACAGAACGAAUUAAAAAAUGUCUAGAAAGAAAGAAUCAAACAAACAAAACCGAAAGCACAAGUAAAAGUAUGGAAAGAUAUAGGUAUACGGCCAGAGAAUGAGAGAAUGCGCAGCAUAGACGUCUAAGCUAAGCUCAUUAAGAUUCGAAUAACAAUAAAUUUUCCAUACCAGCCAGUGGAACGAUGGGUGUACGAGGUCAAAGACAUUUGUCAAGGAAGUCGAUAAGAAUUUUUAAUCUUAGAGAAUAACGUAACUUUAUUUGACACGUAUAGCUAAACAACUUUGAAAAGACCCCCGCGGAAGACUAAUGCGGGAAUCUUUUAAAUUCUUAAGCUUUAUAUGGCUACAUCUAUAUGUAUGUAUAUCACUUACAAGGAAAAAAUUGCGAAAAUCUAUGUUUUUAAAUGUUGGGAUGAUUAGGUAUCGUUCAAUCUCUGUAUAUCGCGUUCAUUUAUUGCACAUACGUGUAUCGAUUAAUGUAUGUAUGUAGAUUGUA